ACACCGGCCGCUCUAGUGGUAACAAUUUUUAUUGGGCCUAAAGCGUCCGUAGCCGGUUUAAUAAGUCUCUGGUGAAAUCCUGUAGCUUAACUGUGGGAAUUGCUGGAGAUACUAUUAGACUUGAGACCGGGAGAGGUUAGAGGUACUCCCAGGGUAGAGGUGAAGUUCUGUAAUCCUGGAAGGACCGCCUGUUGCGAAGGCGUCUAGCUGGAACGGUUCUGACGGUGAGGGACGAAAGUUAGGGGCGCGAACCGGAUGAGAUACCCGGGUAGUCCUAACUGUAAACGAUGCGGACUUGGUGUUGGGGUGGCUUUGAGCUGCUCCAGUGCCGAAGGGAAGCUGUUAAGUCCUCCGCCUGGGAAGUACGGUCGCAAGACUGAAACUCAAAGGAAUUGACGGGG
rnacentral:rRNA from 1 species